GACCCCUUAGCUCAGUGGUAGAGCGUGUGAUUCCAGAAUGAUUUGAAUAAUGAAUCUGGUUGUCCACAAGGUCAAGCGUUCAACUCGCUUAGGGGUCA